rnacentral:rRNA from 1 species
UGAGGAAUAUUGGUCAAUGGGCGAGAGCCUGAACCAGCCAAGUAGCGUGCAGGAUGACGGCCCUCCGGGUUGUAAACUGCUUUUAGUUGGGAAUAAAAAAAGGGACUUGUCCCUUCUUGUAUGUACCUUCAGAAAAAGGACCGGCUAAUUCCGUGCCAGCAGCCGCGGUAAUACGGAAGGUCCAGGCGUUAUCCGGAUUUAUUGGGUUUAAAGGGAGCGUAGGCGGAUUGUUAAGUCAGCGGUUAAAGGGUGUGGCUCAACCAUGCAUUGCCGUUGAAACUGGCGAUCUUGAGUGCAGACAGGGAUGCCGGAAUUCGUGGUGUAGCGGUGAAAUGCUUAGAUAUCACGAAGAACUCCGAUCGCGAAGGCAGGUGUCCGGGCUGCAACUGACGCUGAGGCUCGAAAGUGUGGGUAUCAAACAGGAUUAGAUACCCUGGUAGUCCACACAGUAAACGAUGUAUACUCGCGGUUUGCGAUAGAGUGUAAGCCGCCAAGCGAAAGCAUUAAGUAUACCACCUGGGGAGUACGCCGGCAACGGU